UACGGAAGGGGCAAGCGUUGUUCGGAAUCAUUGGGCGUAAAGGGCGUGUAGGUGGUUUUGUAUGUCUACCGUGAAAGCGUACGGCUCAACCGUAUUUAGUCGGUAGAAACUGCAGGACUUGAGGCUGGGAGGGGCUGGUGGAAUUCCCCGUGUAGCGGUGAAAUGCGUAGAGAUGGGGGAGAACACUCGUGGCGAAGGCGGCCAGCUAGACCAGUUCUGACACUGAGGCGCGACAGCGUGGGGAGCAAACAGG
rnacentral:rRNA from 1 species